rnacentral:rRNA from 1 species
GACGAACGCUGGCGGCGUGCUUAACACAUGCAAGUCGAACGGAAAGGCCCUGCUUUUGUGGGGUGCUCGAGUGGCGAACGGGUGAGUAACACGUGAGUAACCUGCCCUUGACUUUGGGAUAACUUCAGGAAACUGGGGCUAAUACCGGAUAGGAGCUCCUGCUGCAUGGUGGGGGUUGGAAAGUUUCGGCGGUUGGGGAUGGACUCGCGGCUUAUCAGCUUGUUGGUGGGGUAGUGGCUUACCAAGGCUUUGACGGGUAGCCGGCCUGAGAGGGUGACCGGCCACAUUGGGACUGAGAUACGGCCCAGACUCCUACGGGAGGCAGCAGUGGGGAAUAUUGCACAAUGGGCGGAGGCCUGAUGCAGCAACGCCGCGUGCGGGAUGACGGCCUUCGGGUUGUAAACCGCUUUCGCCUGUGACGAAGCGUGAGUGACGGUAAUGGGGAAAGAAGCACCGGCUAACUACGU